CGAUGAGUUAAGGCCUUAAGGGUCAGCUCUCAGUCACCCUGCUUGGAUCCUCACAAUCGUUUACUAGAGGACGAUUGAAGUGCACCGGAGCUUCUUCUUCAUCAUUUGCAUUCGCCGACGAUCACAAAACUCACGAUCCGACACCGAGUCAUAAUCGUCGUUGUCCGGCGACCGCGAAUCCGAAGACGAUUCUUCUUCCUCGAGGAAGCUGUGGACUGACAAGGCGAGACGUCGUCACCGGAUUGCUCAUUCCCGCUGCUGACGUAGCUCUCCUGUCCGACGAGCCGAGCCUUGACCCUUGUCGUUCGGCGGGUA
rnacentral:lncRNA from 1 species